UUACAUUGCUCAAUUCCAUGGUCUACUCUAUGUAUUGCUUUCUGAUUAAUCUGCUUGCAAUGUUUCUACAAUUUAGAAAUAACUUUUCUAUUGCACAGAUAGAUACAUACUAUAUUAUAUCAGGUUGGUUUGUAUCUUGAUCAUAUUGUCACCUAUGAAUCUAUCUCAAUCCGUCCCACAGGACUGUCAAGGACCCCCCCCCCCCCCCCCCCCCCCCCCCCGCGGACAGCAGCCGAACUUCGGUUAGUCAAGUGUGCCGCUGCAGUUCUGCUCCCAAAUCAGUAUCGACACUUUGAUCUUGCACAUGUUCCAUGAUCUACAGCGCUUGGUUUAGCAUUCUAACUUAUCGAAUUCUCCCUGAAUAUUAAGAGAAAGUAUGCUACAAGUUAUUGUGAAAUUGAAAUAUUUCUUUCAGCAUACUAUUUGGCAUUAUGACUUAUUUUUCAUUCCAUGAUUCAUGCUGCCACUGGAGCCGAUCCUUCAGUAAAGGAGCAACUUUCAUCAUUAGCAUAGAAUUUUCAUUUCAAAACUCUGUUUAUAUCAGUGCCAUGCCCUCCCCAUGGCAGCUCCAGAACCCUUCUUUGCUCACAUCAUUGCAAAAUAGCAUUGCAUAUUUUAAUUCUAGAUAAGUGCUCAUAUGGAGAAUAAGACUAAAUGAGAUUAAAACAUGCAGCGAGGGUAGUAAAUCAGAGGUCAUGCAUAUUUCUUCUAAAUUCAUAUGUCAAGUAAAUCAUCCAAAGAAUUUUGAUCUUUCAGCUGGGUAGUCAAGUAAAUCAUCCAAAGCGCUCUAAUCUUUCAGCAGGGUAAGGCCUUCUAAAGGUGUAUAGUUUCUGAAUUUAUAUACCAUCUGCAACUAAAAUCAAAAGACCAAAAAACUAACCUUUGCCCUGAAUUGAACCUAUUGCUGAAUGGCUGAAUUUGUUAUUUUUACAUAUAUGUGUGCACUCAGCUUACACUAAACUGUCAAGUGCUGAUUUAUGUUUCUCUUGAGCUCCCAUGUAUAUGCAGAAAAAUCAUGGCAACAAGACCUCGAAGAAUAAGGAACUUGAACCUCCCGCAAGUAGAGGACGUAGAACCUGCUAAGGAUGAGCAUGACAAUUCAGUGGAGAAUGAUAACAAUGAAAAUGUACAGGGUCCUCCUGAUAUUGAUGGUUUAUUGGCUCGCAUGCCACGCUACCAUCCUCGAAGUCCAAUUAAGAUAAUAUGGCCAAAUGGAGAGGUGCGGCAAGUUUUAGGUGAUUUCACAAUUUCAAAUCUAUUGCAAUUAGAAGGAGGAAAGGUAAUUGUAGGGACUGAUGAAAAUGGAGUCCCAAAUGAAAGGUCAGCCUCCAUCCUAGGUCAGCACCUUGGACAAAUAGCAGAAAAGCCAUCAUUAGCUCCUUUACACAUUCAAAGAUGGGACAAUGCUCUGUUCAAGACACACAAGGAACAAAUGAUCAAGGAUGUUGAGGAAAAGUUUGAGUUCCCUCGAUCAACUAUACAGCUCACAAGGGAUUGGAUCCUAAUGACAGUUAACAAUAGAUGGAGAGCCUACAAAUCUAAGUUGAAGAAACAAUAUUUCAAUCCUGAAGAGAGAUCUCUAGAUGAAAUCAUAAAAGGGAAACCACCAACUGUGAAUGAACAUCAAUGGAGAGCUCUUGUUGGAUUUUGGUGCCAGGAAGCACAUAAGAAAUUAUGUGCCACAAACUCCCGAUGAGCAAAAGAACAGAAGAAUACCCACACAACAGGGCAAAAAAGCCAUGCUAGGCUGAAAAAAGAGAUGGAAGAUAACAAUAAAAGAAAGAUUCAUAGGCUAGAAUUGUGGGAGGCUGCUCAUAAAAAAAAGAAUGGUAGAUACACUACUGACACAGUAGAGACAUUAAUGGAAGCAUCUUUUGAGGAAUUACCAAAAAGGCAAGAGAACAACAAUGGUAAUCUUUCAGCUCAAGAUUUUGAUGAGGUAUUCAAUGAGAUAGUUGCUAAGGACUUAAAAGCACGUGGGUACUAUGAUGACAAGUAUUGGAGUCAAAUGCGAGUUUCUCGAGGUGUAACCUUUGUUACUCCAUCUGAGGAAGAAACAAGGUACCAAGAGAAAGUAAAUGCAAUGGAGAAUAAGAUGCACCGCAUGACUGGUCUGAUGAAGCACUGGCUUGCUUUCAUGUCAAAAAAGUUUCCAGAAGAGGAUUUCAUAAAUGAAAUGGAAGGAGCCCUACAGGAUGAUGAAGAUGGUCUUAUGGAAAGAGAAUGUGAUACUGAAAGAAAUUCUGAACACUCAAGUGGUAAUGACUACUCUCCAUCAAUUGAUGUGCAGGAGGGUCAUGCAGAUAAGGGUGAUCCAGCCACUAACUUGUGAUCUAAUACUGUACAGACCAACAUGAGAUCUCGAAGAGUUAAAGCCCCCAGUUCAAACCAAUCUGAAUCGUGCGAAACGGAAGUCUAUCUUAUUUCACUGAGAAACAAAGGGAGAGUGGCGGCGAAAGGAAUGUUAAAGACUACUGAUAGCAAACGAGUUAUUGGUGGAAGCAUGCUUGGAACCGAAUUUGUUGGUGUUUAUGUUGAUGGAAUUGAAAAUAAGGGAGAUGAGCAGUUACCUCGGCCACUCUAUAGUAUUCAUACACUAAUAGAUGCUAUUGGCUUUAUCAUUUCUUGGGCCAAAUCACAUGU